GAGUAGAUUCUCCUGACCUCAGGGUGGUGAGGUACUCAUGUGCAACCAACCCAUCUCCUCUGUCGGAAGACCUCCAUUCAUCCUUGGCCAGCCUUCUGAAGUCUCCCUUUAUGAAUACUCGGGAUAUGCUCUUUGGGGGAUGACACCACCACAGGCUCACGGACUGAAGAGCAGCUUGGUGCUCCUGUAAUGAGGCCCGUGGUCUCAUUUCUUCCAUCUGAGUGGUACCUUCUCACAUGUUCUGUACCAGAAUCAAGAGGUCUCAUAUCCCCUACCUGAAUAUCGACUGUACCUUAACCACAUGAAUGUUCUGUGAGUCUCAACUCCCA